AUUGAACGCUGGCGGCAUGCUUUACACAUGCAAGUCGAACGGCAGCGCGGGCUUCGGCCUGGCGGCGAGUGGCGAACGGGUGAGUAAUACAUCGGAACGUGCCCAGUAGUGGGGGAUAGCUCGGCGAAAGCCGGAUUAAUACCGCAUACGACCUGAGGGUGAAAGCGGGGGAUCUUCGGACCUCGCGCUAUUUGAGCGGCCGAUGGCAGAUUAGCUAGUUGGUGGGGUAAAGGCCUACCAAGGCGACGAUCUGUAGCUGGUCUGAGAGGACGACCAGCCACCCUGGGACUGAGACACGGCCCAGACUCCUACGGGAGGCAGCAGUGGGGAAUUUUGGACAAUGGGCGAGAGCCUGAUCCAGCAAUGCCGCGUGUGUGAUGAAGGCCUUCGGGUUGUAAAGCACUUUUGGCGGGAACGAAAAGGACUGUGCCAAUACCACGGUUCGAUGACGGUACCCGCAGAAUAAGCACCGGCUAACUACGUG
rnacentral:rRNA from 1 species